UGCCACAAAUAUCGUGGCAAACAUUACACGAGUCUCUACACGGAGUUUGACCAGUCCCUUUCUCAAGGGCUGGCUGGCGAGUCUACGACUGACAGUGACUGUGUGUACUCUGUCCUGCCCCUCUACCAUUCCCACGGCCUCGCACACGGUGGAGGGCCUAUGAUCUACACAGGAGCCACUCUCUGCCAAACACUGUUGGACUGAUAGUGCAAAGUACAACUGCACUAUGGUGUGCACGAUUGGGGAGUUGAAUCGCUACGUGUUGGCUCAACCCCCUCAAUCCACUGACACACAAAGUACGUCUAAUCAUCACUGCAGGACUCAGAAAAGAGCUGUGGCUGGAGUUCCAGAAACGAUUUGAAGUGGAUCACAUUAUCGAGUUUUAUGGCUCCACUGAGGGCAACUUUGGUAUCAUCAACAUUGACAACAAGCCAGGGCCUGUUGGAGCUCUCCCACUGUUUGUACCGUCCAUUCAAAACGUCACUAUCCUGAAGCUUCAUCCAGAGACUGGCGAUUACCUAAGAGAUGAGAAUGGUUUCUGUGUUGAGUGUGGUGUGAGCGAACCUGGUGAAACUGUUUGUGAGAUUACUAAAGUCUCUCCCUUCUACGGAUAUCGAAACAACGAAAACUCGGCAAAAAAAAUUCUUAGGAAUUGUUUCAAAGCAGGAGAUGCUUUUUCAGAAGUGGAGACAUUAUGCACAUUGACGAGGAAGGUUGGGUGUAUUUGUGUGAUUGAUCUGGGGACACGUUUCGUUGGAAGGGGGAGAACGUAUCCACGGCAGAGGUUGAGACUCGUAUUGCUACUGUGUUGAAGUUGACGGAUGUGGUGGUGUACGGUGUUGAGGUGCCUGGUAACGAGGGGCGUGCUGGAAUGGCUGCCAUUGUGGGGACUCUGGUCAUGCAGGGGAGCACUCUGGCUGGAUGAGACACAGAGGAGGCACUAACUGACGACAAGAAGACAAUGUUCGACUGGUGUAAGGAGGGGAAUGAAAAGAAAUUACGAUCUCUACUCUCUGACACCAAUGUCAAUCAAACUGACCAAGAGGGGAUGGGUCUUCUUCACUGGGCCUGUGACCGUGGCAACCUGAACAUGGUGAAACUACUUGUGAAGAGGGGAGCAGAUGUUAAUAUUGAGGACACAGACAAUCAGACACCUCUUCAUUAUGCGGCUAGACUGUGACAACUUUCUGGUGAACAACAGGACACUACGGAUUCUGAUGGAUCAGCAAAGAUCUGCCUAUGCACAUUCUGAACACCGAGGUGUUGGGGUUCAUGGUCAAACCAGAGGACUAUGAGAGCCUGGACCACGCUGCCUCCACUUUAAGCUGGACAACCUUGUAGACCACCCCCCUAUACUGUACAGUCAGUACAUCUCCAGACCACCCCCUGUCAAGAACAACUUGGGGUUGGACGCGGUGUUCAUGAUUGGGCUAGUACGGAGGCCAGAAAGAAAGAACCGGAUGAUUUUAAGCCUGGACGAGCUCAACUUCAACUACACCCUCUUUGAUGCUGUCGAUGGAAGGUGAGAGAAAAUUAAUAAUUAUACAUCGUAUGGAGUAAGGUUUUAGAUAGUGGCUUAUCACGUCCAACCCCAAAUUGUCAUUGAGAGAGGGUAGUCUUGAGAUGUACUGCAUGGUGUAGAGUAUAGGUUCAGUGUGUGUGAGGGGAGACAUAACUGGCUGUACAAUACAGAGGGAUGGGGGAGGAGACAAUACACACUAAUUGAUACACAAGGAUGUGGUGGGGAACUCAUAUUUAAAAGAACCUCUUUUGUUUAUUUUAUCCCUGGCCACUACAGACAGUUGAAUCAGAGCUACCUGGACAGUCUGGGUA